AUGGCAGUUAGUGGAGAGUGUGGGCAGCUUUGCUGGAAGAAAUGAGACUGUAUUAGAGGAACAGGCUUCUGCUUGCCAAGCUCCUUGCGGUCUGCCUCCCUCCUCUGCUGAAGAUGCUACUGGGAAGGGAGAGCUGGAGGAUGUCUAGCGUUUCCCAAGUGCAUGUUAACCUGGGAAGGCUGUUUCUAGUACCUGAGCUUGAUCACAGAGAGUUCUCAGCUAUUUCUCUGCACAGAACUGCUGUGCCUCAGCCGUGACUCCACACCCGUCUCUGCAGCAUCUUUCAGAACAGCCCAAUGGUUGUCUUCAUCUUCCUUCAAAAAAUCUUCUGAGACUUCACUUCAAAGACUCACGUACGUGGCAGAUUCAAUGACAGGUAGAAGUCAAGGCAGUUGUAUCACCUUGAAGACUAUGAGUGGAGAUAGCACAGUGCCUGGAUCUCACCUCUUUGUUGGCCCUGGGGUUUGGGACCUGACAAAGGAGAUGGACUUGAAGGUGGCAAUGCAUUGCUGUUAACGUGUGCCUACACUUUGCUUGGGGAGCACCCUAAGUGCUAAAGGUGCAGCAGGCAUGAGGCCUGCCAGCAUCCCACACCACUCACUGAUUGCUUGCCCUGGAGUGAGGACUUCACGUGGAAGGGAAACACAACUAAUAGGAGGUCAAUCUACCUGCAUGUGAAGGCAAGGUCACCCUGAGCCAUUAUCUAUUUCUAUCCUAGGUAAACAAAAUCGCUUGUUACAAAAUGGCAGCAUCCAUGUGGGUAAUCAAUAUGGGGACCUCUGUGGCUUGUUCCUUUGAUGUCUGUAAUAGUGUCUUCUGUUUUCUCUCCUUUGAUAUUUUUAUCAGAAUAAUUUAGUCUGACAAUGUUUGUAAGUUAGUGAGAACAACCAAAGGAUAAACAGUUCAGUCACCUUGGCCUCUUUCUUUUCCUGGUAUUAAAAGUUAAGCUAGCUGUUAUUAUGAUAUAGUAUUUUACUCAUUGACUUCCUUUUGAAGGUUCAUAAUGUGGAAGCUGUUUUUAAAAAAUCAAUUUACAUAAAUGCUUUUU
rnacentral:lncRNA from 7 species